UAUUAGUGCACUUAAAUGUGAUUUCUUUCAUUGGUUGUUCGCGUUAAUGACCCCCUUUUUAACAGGUGAAUCAAUCGAAGAGAUCUCUACUAGACCCAAAGCCUAUUCUGCGCAAGAGAAGAUCAUUCAAGCGACAACCAAGUCAAUCUGGUAGAGGAAAACAACCAAUUUUCUUGCAAGUUCUUCUGAAUUAUGGAUAUUACAUGCUAUCUAGGGUUUUCCAGCAGUGGUGGGUGAGGUAGCUAUAUAUAUAUAUAUAUAUAUAUAUAUAUAUAGAGAGAGAGAGAGAGAGAGAGAGAGAGAGAGAGAGAGAGAGAGGUAGGGUUGGACUAGAUUAGAAAACAUAAUAUACAAUCAGAACUAGACUAGAACUAGGAGUAGAAGUUGGACUUGGAGUGUGAUUGUUCUGCAUCAAUUGGAAUCAGACUUGCUUUAUCACGGUAUACACCUGAAGUGGAUCAUUGGAGUCUUGCUGUAAAAAGAUGGGAAAUUAUUAGAAAAGGAAUGGAGGUCUGAAAUUCCUAUCCCCGGGGAGGACCUCAUAGGUCUAUUCUGUGUUAUUCUUGCUGUAUUUUUGUAUCAUUGACGUUGAAAAAUGAUCACAUAAGAUUAAAUCAUAACUUUUUAACUUUUAUACCAAUAACCGAAUCUGCACUAAUUGGAAUAUGCACCAAUUUACUUU